AGGAUUGAGAGAAGUUUCCAAGUUGGAGACCCAGUUUACUUGAAAAUGGCUCCUUACAGAUUAGCAGCAUUUGGUUUCAGAGGUGCUUUGAAGUUGCAAAACAAAUAUUAUGGUCCCUUCCUAGUCAUUCAGAAAGUGGGCAAGGCAGCGUACAAAUUGCAGUUACCUAGUGGAGUGCAAAUACAUCCAGUGUUUCAUGUGAGUCAGUUAAAGAAGCACAUUGGGGAGAAGUCUAUACCGGACCCUAAUCUACCACUAGUCAACCAGGAUGGAAUAGUCAAAGUGGGACCAGAGGAAGUUCUAGAAGUUCGCCAAGUUCCUCGACAUAAUCUGCCAGUGGUGCAAUGGCGUAUCAAG
rnacentral:rRNA from 1 species